GGAACCUGCCUUUCAGGCAUCCUCUCCUAAAACUUUAUGCCGCCCUUCGGGGCGGCUUUUUUUUGGUCAUC
rnacentral:sRNA from 1 species